rnacentral:pre_miRNA from 1 species
UAUUAAAAUUUUCAUUUGUUUAUAUGUUUAAAAACUGUCAUAGCUGAUGGAAUAAUCAUACAGUGGAACGUGCCAUGUAUAUCUUAUAUUGAUGUACAAAGAUCAGUUUUUAAUAAUAGAAAUAAAGGAAUUUUAACA